AGGUGCAAUCAUACCAGCAUUAAUGCACCAGAUCGCAUGAGAACUCCACAAUUAAGUGUGCUUGGGAGAGAGUAGUACUAGGAUGGGUGACAUCCUAGGAAGUCCUCGUGUUGCACCUC
rfam:Lupinus angustifolius cultivar Tanjil contig_1835, whole genome shotgun sequence.